rnacentral:rRNA from 1 species
CAGCCGCCACGGUAAUACGAAGGGUGCAAACGUUAAUCGGAAUUACUGGGCGUAAAGCGUGCGUAGGCGGUUUGUUAAGUCUGCUGUGAAAUCCCCGGGCUCAACCUGGGAAUGGCAGUGGAUACUGGCAAGCUAGAGUGUGUCAGAGGAUGGUGGAAUUCCCGGUGUAGCGGUGAAAUGCGUAGAGAUCGGGAGGAACAUCAGUGGCGAAGGCAGCCCCCUGGGCCAAUACUGACGCUCAUGCACGAAAGCGUGGGGAGCGAACAGGAUUAGAUACCCCAGUAGUCCCUGUCUCUUAUAC